AGAUUUUCUCUACCUAUUCGUGUUAUUAGCCAUUGAAAUUACUUUGGCGCCCUUCCAAACUGGCGACGUUUCGCGAAAAACAAUUUUUUAAUCAUUGUCUGACGAGGUGCUUUGUGGUAAGCACAAGAUACUUAAAUUGAUAUCUUGUUACAGGAAAAAUGUAUACCUUGUCUUAUGAUCCUGUGUUCGGGCACAAAUUCUACUCUUACGUACCCCAUUCUAAGUACUACACGGAUUACAAUAUCAGAGGACCACUCGAUUUUUACGAACCUUCACGUGUCAGUAAGUGGUACCCCCACUAUUGGCCUACCCAUUUGCUGGAUUACGUUCCCACCAAAUAUUCCUUACGAAAGUUACGUGUUAGAAAUCAUCUGUACCGUUUGGCGUAGCAUGAUGCAAUCGACAUUUACCUUGGGGUACCCAGAAACAUAGUAAUGAUAGAACAUUCUAUAUUAAAUAAUUUAAUUUCAGUAUUUAGCAAUUUUGUUGUAUUUUAAAGAUAUUAUUAAACUACCUUAGA